rfam:Triticum aestivum genome assembly, contig: Triticum_aestivum_CS42_TGACv1_scaffold_252875_3DL
AUGUUACUCCCUCCGUCCCAAAAUUCUUGUCUUAGAAUUGUCUUAGAUCAUGCAUCCGUAUUUAGACAAAUCUAAGACAAGAAUUUUGGGACGGAGGGAGUACUUG